rnacentral:rRNA from 1 species
AGCGAACGCUGGCGGCAGGCUUAACACAUGCAAGUCGAGCGCACCGCCAGGGCUGCGGCAGACGGGAGGGUACCACGUGGGAACAUACCCUUUGGUUCGGAACAACUGAGGGAAACUUCAGCCAAUACGGGAUAAGCCCUAACGGGGAAAGAUUGAUCGCGGAAAGAUUGGCGCGCGUCUGAUUAGCUGGUGGGUGGGGUGACGGCUCACCAAGGCAACGAUCAGUAGCUGGUCUGAGAGGAUGAUCCGCCUCACUGGGACUGGGACACGGGCCAGACUACUACGCGAGGGAGGAGAGGGUAAUAUAGGACAAUGGGGGCAACCCUGAUCCAGCCAUGCCGCGUGAGUGAUGAAGGCCUUAGGGAUGUAAAGUUCUUUGGCCCGGGAAGAUAAUGACGGUACCGGGAGAAUAAGCACCGGCUAACUUCGUG